GUCGCAUGCCUGGGGCGUGGAGCAGGUCCCAAGGGUUCGGCGUUCGCCGAUUAAAGCGGCACGCGAGCUGGGUUCAGAACGUCGUGAGACAGUUUGGUCUCUAUCCUCUGCGCUCGUUGGAAUGUUGAGGAGGCCUGCCCAUAGUACGAGAGGACCUGGGUGGACGAACCUCUGGUAUGCCGGUUGUCGCGCCAGCGGCACGGCCGGUUGGCCACGUUCGGAAGGGAUAACCGCUGAAAGCAUCUAAGCGGGAAGCCUGCUCCAAGAUAAGCAUUCCAUGGAUCCCCGGAUCCUGAACCCCCCAUGAAGAACACGUGGUCGAUAGGCCGGACGUGGAAGCCCCGCGAGGGGUGGAGCCGACCGGUACUAACGGGGAAAGGCGAAACCUU
rnacentral:ncRNA from 1 species